rnacentral:snRNA from 1 species
UGAAAUUACCUGUAGCCCGAU